rnacentral:rRNA from 1 species
CAGUCGAGGGGCAGCAUGGCCUAUCUUUCGGGAUGGGCCGAUGGCGACCGGCGCACGGGUGAGUAACGCGUAUCCAACCUUCCCUUUACUGGGGUCCAGCCCGUCGAAAGGCGGAUUAAUCCCCCAUGUUCUCCGUCCCGGACAUCUGUGUCGGAGCAAAGAUUUAUCGGUAAAGGAUGGGGAUGCGUCCGAUUAGCUUGUUGGCGGGGUAACGGCCCACCAAGGCAUCGAUCGGUAGGGGUUCUGAGAGGAAGGUCCCCCACACUGGAGCUGAGACACGGUCCAGACUCCUACGGGAGGCAGCAGUGAGGAAUAUUGGUCAAUGGACGCAAGUCUGAACCAGCCAAGUAGCGUGCAGGAUGACGGCCCUCCGGGUUGUAAACUGCUUUUAGUUGGGAAUAAAAGGGGGCUCGUGAGCCCCGUAUUGUAUGUACCAUCAGAAAAAGGACCGGCUAAUUCCGUGCCAGCAGCCGCGGUAAUACGGAAGGUCCGGGCGUUAUCCGGAUUUAUUGGGUUUAAAGGGAGCGUAGGCCGGCUUUUAAGUCAGCUGUGAAAGUCCGCGGCUCAACCGUGGAAUUGCAGUUGAAACUGGAGGCCUUGAGUGCACACAGGGAUGCCGGAAUUCAUGGUGUAGCGGUGAAAUGCUUAGAUAUCAUGAAGAACUCCGAUCGCGAAGGCAAGUGUCCGGNGUGCAACUGACGCUGNGGCUCGAAAGUGCGGGUAUCAAACAGGAUUAGAUACCCUGGUAGUCCGCACCGUAAACGAUGAAUACUCGUGUCC